rnacentral:rRNA from 1 species
UACGUAGGGUCCGAGCGUUGUCCGGAAUUAUUGGGCGUAAAGAGCUCGUAGGCGGUGUGUCGCGUCGGCCGUGAAAACCUGCAGCUUAACUGUGGGCGUGCGGUCGAUACGGGCAUCACUGGAGUUCGGCAGGGGAGACUGGAAUUCCUGGUGUAGCGGUGAAAUGCGCAGAUAUCAGGAGGAACACCGGUGGCGAAGGCGGGUCUCUGGGCCGUAACUGACGCUGAGGAGCGAAAGCGUGGGGAGCGAACAGG